rnacentral:lncRNA from 1 species
AUGGGGCCUGUGCUCAGGCAGAAAGCUCGGGGGGAGGGGGAGGGAGAGAGGGAAGGGGAGGGAGAGGGAGGGAAGGGGGAAGAAGAGGGGGAGGGGAGAGGGAGGGAAGGGGGGAAGGGGAGGGAGAGGGGAGGGGGAGGGGAGGGAGAGGGGGAGGGAGGGAGAGAGGGGGAGGGAGAGAGGGAGGGAGAGAGGGAGGAGGAGGAGGGAGAGGGGGAGGGGAGAGGAGGAGGAGGGAGAGAGGGAAGGGGAGGGGAGAGGGAGGGGGAGGGAGGGAGAGGGAGGGGGAGGGGGAGGGAGGGAGAGAGGGAGGAGGAGGAGGGAGAGGGAGGGGGAGGGAGGGAGAGGGAGGGAGAGGGAGGGAGAGAGGGAGGGAGAGAGGGGGAGGGGAGAGGGGGAGGGGAGAGGGGGAGGGAGGAGGAGGGAAGGGGAGGGGAGAGGGGGAGGGGAGAGGGGGAGGGAGGGAGAGAGGGAAGGGGAGAGGGAGGGGGAGGGAGGGAGAGAGGGGAGGGGGAGGGGGAGGGAGAGGGAAGGAAGAGAGGGGGAGGGGAGAGGGGGAGGGAGAGGGGGAGGGAGAGAGGGAAGGGGAGGGGAGAGGGAGGGGAAGGGGAGGGAGAGGGGGAGGGAGGAGGGAAGGGGAGGGAGGGAGAGAGGGAGGAGGAGGAGGGAGAGAGGGAGGGAGAGGGAGGGGGGAGAGGAGGAGGAGGAGGGAGAGGGGGAGGGAGGGAGAGAGGGAGGGAGAGGGGGAGGGAGGAGGGAAGGGGAGAGGGAGGGGGAGGGAGGGAGAAGGGGAGGGAGAGAGGGGAGGGGGAGGGGAGAGGGAGGGAGAGGGAGGGGGAGGGAGGGAGAGGGAGGGGGAGGGAGAGGGAGGGGGAGGGGGAGGGAGAGAGGGAGGAGGAGGAGGGAGAGGGAGGGAGAGGGAGGGGGAGGGGAGAGGGAAAGGGGGAAGAAGAGGGGGAGGGGAGAGGGAGGGGAAGGGGAGGGGAGAGGGAGAGAGGGGAGGGGAGGGGAGAGGGGGAGGGGAGAGGGAAGGGGAGGGGAGAGGAGGAGGAGGGAGAGAGGGGGAGGGGGAGGAGGGACAAUGGCAGCUCACCCGGGGCUGCUGCUUCCAGUGUCAGCUGUGUCCCGUUCCGCCGUCUCGUGGUCCCUCUCCUGUCCCCUCUCCUGUCCCUUCAGAUGGCCGUUCGUCUCUUCCCUGGCUCGUCGGCUCGUUUCCCUCUCCACGUGCCCCGUUGCCACCGCUCCGCGUCGCUGGAAGCAGAACGCAGACCCACGGUUUAG